GACUCGUUUCUUGUUGGUGUUUUUGGAUGUGGACCGUGCACGAGACUGCCAACUGCCGACUGCCCGAUUGCCGACCGCUGUGCCAGCAGCCAGCAGGCAGCGGCGCAGCUGCGAAGCCACCACACCCUUGACUGGAUUGCAAAAAAAAUAACAGCAGCAGCAGCAACGCAAAAAAAAAGCAUAGCAGACCAGAGAUCGCCCCGCAGACCAUUCGGACCACUGGCAGGCAGGCAGACGUGGGGCUGGCUGUGUUUCCGCACACUCUGAGAAAAAAGUUGCUGAC
rnacentral:lncRNA from 1 species